CAUUGUGUUUCACAAACAUUGUUCUUACUUUUUCUAAAUCAGUUUCAUGGACACGAAAAUUGGUGGAUUUCUGAUUUUGGAAUAAAGAGUAAUUUGCUUUGGUCAUUGUCUGAUGUGUUUGUGUUAAUCUUGUGGAUCGGUCAACCCACACAAUUGACGAAAACAAAUGUCCCAUGUAAAUAAAUAAUUGAAGACAUUUUACAUAAUAAUAUAAUACUUGAAACCUCAUCAGCAAACGCUUCUCGUAUUAGCCAUGUCAAAGAAUCGCAUCCUGAUUAUUUAUGUUUAAGGUUGCAGACUUUAUGAGUUGUUUGACAGGGAGACCGGAUCAGCCCAGCCUGUCAGGGUGAGAUAGCAGUUACAUCCUGGAAUGAAGCGACAGAAAUCAGACAGAAAGAAAGGAAAGUACAUGAAUGUCCCAGCCUACAGAUCUGGUCAUUAUGCUCUCAUUGACACCCUCUACAAAGAUAUUCAGGCUAACACCUCAGUUGCAGAUGUACAGCACAGUACGUCUCUCAGCAGACACAAGUUUCUAUGCUUGACACUACUGCCAGUUGACUGAAAGCACAAGCUUCUCCCAUUCAACAAGUCUACGCACAAGCACGUGUUUUCAAGAUUAGGGACAUUUAAUCCCUACUUUCAGUCUAGGAGGACGCAGCUUAUUUUUAAUAUUUCCUUUCCUGACAGCAAAACCAGUGGGGAACUAGUGUUGAUACCUUUUCAAUAUUGAAAAAAAAACUUGGAUUUACUGAAGGACGAUUUCAAACCUGGUGGGCAAAGACUGUCGGGCGCAGCAGGCCCAUAGGGGUUCAAGAAUAUUAUAUCUAAGCAGUUCCUUGGUGUACACAAGAAGAAUGUGCCAUUGAGUUAACAGAUUCACACUGCAUUACGGGCACGGGUAAAGAAAAACAUGUGCUUGCCGAAACAUACACAUUACACAAUUUAAGUGAAAUUUUGAAUGGAAUGUUUCUUCUUUUUUAUGCUCCCCUUCUAAGAAGAGGGGGUAUAUUGUUUUGCUGGAUGUCAGUCUGUCUGACUGUAGACUAGUUCGUUUCCGAUCAAUAAGUCUUAAAGGAAUUGACUAAUUGGCUUGAUACUUAACAUGUACAUUGGCCUUGGACAGUAGAUGACCUCUAUUAAAAUAAGGGUCACUAGGUCGUAGGUCACUCACAAUAAGUGUGAAAAUCAUUUCCGAUCAAUAGCUUGUCAACGAAUUGACCGAUUGGCUUAUUACUUACCAUGUGCAUUUGCCUUGAACAGUAGAUGAUCCUUAUUGAAAUUGUGGUCACUAGGUCAACGGUCAAAGGUAACUGUCACAGUAAGUAUGAAAAUCUUUUCCGAUCAAUAACUUGUCAAGCCGGGAAUAUAAAUUGACCGAUUCUGUCUCCGACCGCAGAACUCAUACAUUUCCAAAUCAUAGGUAUUAAUGCUGUAGCACGUAAUUGAUUUCUCACUGUCUAAGCAUGUUUAUUAAUUUGUAAGUACUGAUGAUAAAUUAAAACUGUGGAAAAACAUCAGUUGCUAUAUAUUUUGGGCAUAAACAUCAUGUAUAUGUUUUUUGUCUAAUGAUUGAUUUAAAGGGACAUUGUCACAGACAUAAGCAUGUUUUAAAGUUUGUCAUUAAAUGCUUCAAAUUUAUAAUUGUAUACUAUGGAAAUAAAUAUCUCCAGUAUGAAACUAGACAAAAAACACAAAAUCCUCAACUGGGCUCGAACCACAGACCCUUAGAGUAAGACUAAUGCUCAAACCACUCGUCUAUCAGUGCUCACAUAGUAUUUUGUGUAUUUUAGCUCACCUGAGCACAAUGUGCUCAUGGUGAGCUUUUGUGAUUGCUGUUUGUCCGUUGUGCGGCUUCAGCAUUUGCCUUGUAAACAAAAGAGAGGCCACAUUUCUUGUCCGAUCUUCAUAAAAUUUGGACAGAAGAUUUGUGCCAAUGAUAUCUUGGAUGUGUUCGAAAAUUGUUCGGGUUGGUUGAAAAACAUGGCCACCAGAGUGAGAUGCAUGUUUCCUUAUUUGGCUAUCGUAAAACCUUUUAAGCACUCUUAGACCACAGGUAUUUUCAGAUCUUCAUGAAACUUGGUCAGAAGAUUUGUCCCUAUGAUAUUUUGGACGAGUUUAAAAAUGGUU